UACGUAGGGGGCGAGCGUUAUCCGGAAUUACUGGGCGUAAAGCGCACGCAGGCGGUUCGCCAAGUUUGGAGUGACAGUUGUCGGCUCAACCGACAAAGGACUUCAAAAACUGGUGAACUUGAGGACGAGAGAGGAACAUGGAACUCCAGGUGUAGUAGUGAAAUGCGUAGAUAUCUGGGAAGAACACCAAUGGCGAAGGCAAUGUUCUGGCUCGUUUCUGACGCUCAGGUGCGAAAGCCAGGGGAGCGAACGGG
rnacentral:rRNA from 1 species